rnacentral:lncRNA from 10 species
GGGAGAGGACCAGAACCACCUGCUGGAGAAGGGGAGCUACGGGGGCCGGGCAGGGUCCAAACGCCUCACGUAGGCGGCGGCGCCACGGUCUUCGGGGUCACAGGUCGUAGUGGACUAAUUUUACAGGCGAAGUUAAGUGACUUACCCAAAACCUCACAGCUAAUAAACGGCAGAGCCGGCACCCAGCUGUACUGGCUUCCAAUUCUGUUAGCUUACCAGCGCAUCACAUUAUCUCCAUAAAUCCCCAUGAUUCAACUAAUAUUAGACGCCCCACAGAGUCUCGCUACUCAAAACGUGGUCAGUGGCCCAGCAGCACUGACAUGAGGAUGUUAGUUAGAAACUCAGAAUCUCAGGCUCCACCCCAGACCUGCUGAACCAGCAUCUUCAACUUAACAAGAACCCGAAGAGAUUUGUGUCACAUCAAAAAGUUUGAGAAGCUCUGAUCUAGGGCUGGAAGGAGUGUUGCUCAACAAUAUCCAAAACCACAGAGGUUGAAAAGCACAAGGAAAGAAGCUGGACCCUGGACACGGUGACUCUGAUUCAAUUAUGCAGAUGACCACAAACCUCUGGGGUUGGCAGAGCCACAAGAAAGAAGGUGCCUGGAUGAAGGAGAGCUACCCACUGACCUGGACACCCAAUUAUGAAAGAUCUCAUACUACAGACUACAAAUGCCAAAUGACCUACUGUGCUCAUACCACCCUUAACCUAGAAAUAAAAUAGAAACAAUUCCUAAAGAAACAGUCUUAAAAAUAACCAGCUAAAAUUUUAUCAACAACAACAAAAAAGUAGUUGGGGUUUCUGCUCAUUAAAUUAGUUUGUAUGGGUAAGCACCACCUAAGUUUCUUGAUUCAUGGCAUGUGUUCUUAAACCAAUUUACUAUCCACUAAAAAUAAAUGGUGAUCAUUAUAUAAAAA